rnacentral:tRNA from 1 species
UAGGGUGUAUGUUGCCUUCUUCUUGA